GCAUGAUUCACUCCCUUCCCAGACCUCAUUUAAGGGUUGGCAGUGGAGAUUAGGGUAUCUCUUGUUGGGGAUCCCUGCCUACCUGAGCCCUUCCAAGGGUGUAGGCUGGCUUUAACCACUUGAUUUUAUCUGUGGAUCACUGUAUGUCAAAAGGAUUCUAUGAGUAUCUCCUUUUUAGAGAGUGCUGGAAAGGAUUCAGAUCAGAGAAACAGAACAUUCUUGCAAAAUCAGGAAGUUGUGAUGAGUGUCUUGGAAAUCCUCUGAAUGCAUUGAAGUUGGUACAAAAGAAACAGAACCUUGUGAAAUAGAAUUAGAUGUGCUUUCAGGAGAAAAGGCUGACUCGUCAUCCCCACUAAUAACCAGAUGUACAUUGACUUCAGUGACUGUACUUGAGCGGAUGGGUUGGAAAGUGAUGUUACUGUGGGUCAGUGUAACCUCCGUGUACAGUAGCUGUGCAAUGAACUCCAGGCUCGCAUUCUCCUCAGAAAACAUAUAGAUGGUACUACUAGUUAAUUUUAAUAUUUGGAAUUUAGCGGUGCAAAUGCAAACUGCUUCAACUUAUAGGUAUGAAAAAAUGGAAUAAAUGGAAAUUGUCUUUUAAUAAGGUCUUAAAAAAAGGAUUUCUUGUAUUUUUUGUAGCACAUACAGGGAAAUCAAUGUGUUGCUUGAUUCUCCCUGCAGAACUUAAUGAACAUGCAGAAAAUACUGGAUCAACCAAAAAAAAUUGCACUGCUGGUUAUUUUGUUUGAUAUUCCUCAUAACAUCUGUCCUGAACCAAAAGAUGCUUCUUGGAUUGCAAUAGCCGAGCACUGUCCUAAUUACUGGUGUGAUGACCUGGAACUUUGCACAGCCAUUUUGCUUUGGAGUCUGAAAUAGCUAUAAAAGCUGGGGCAGCAACCCUUGACACAGUCAUUGAAUUGUUCCUGAAACUGCUGUGAGAUUCAGACUGGCAUUUUUCUCUCACAUGCCUUCUACCUUUCAUCAGGUCUGUGUCAGACAUGUAGUGACAAUUGUUUUUCCUGCCUAGUUAUAUUUUUCUUUCCAAUUUAAGAUCAUAAAUUAACAUUUCUGCCCAAGUUACUUGUCCAGACAGUACUGGCUGCAAUACUUUUGCUAGAGAGAUUGCACAGCUCCUCCAAUUCUUGGUUACAACAGGGGAGUAAAUGCUUCCUUAGUAUUUUUUAGUGUGCACUAGGACUAAAUCCUUUGUAAAGAGCUAAUACAAUUCUGAUAAAUCAGAGAAGAAUCAAUUCUGAUGAAAUGAUUAUUUGCAUUAUGUCUUCCUUUCUUAUGUCUUUUUUACUUCCAUUUAUAUACUAUUAUUGGUCUUAUCACAUAGCCUUUUGGAUUACAGAAACAGACUGAGAAUUCAUGUGCAGUGAAGACAGGAGUCAUUUAUGCAGGUUAUUCUGGCAGGUUGUUAGCUAAGUCUCACUGAGGAAUGCCUGUGAGGAACAGUUGACACGCUAGAGGGAAGGGAUGCUAUCCGGAGGGACCUGGACAGGUUUGAGAGGUGGGUCCCUGCCAACCUCAUGGAGUCUGACACUGCC